rnacentral:rRNA from 1 species
CGCGUAGGUGGUUCGUUAAGCGAGAUGUGAAAGCCCCGGGCUUAACCUGGGAACGGCAUUUCGAACUGGCAGGCUAGAGUGUGGUAGAGGGUAGUGGAAUUUCCUGUGUAGCGGUGAAAUGCGUAGAUAUAGGAAGGAACACCAGUGGCGAAGGCGGCUACCUGGACCAACACUGACACUGAGGUGCGAAAGCGUGGGGAGCAAACA